rnacentral:rRNA from 1 species
CCUACGGGUGGCUGCAGUGGGGAAUAUUGCACAAUGGGCGCAAGCCUGAUGCAGCCAUGCCGCGUGUGUGAAGAAGGCCUUCGGGUUGUAAAGCACUUUCAGCGGGGAGGAAGGCGUUAAGGUUAAUAACCUUGUCGAUUGGCGUUACCCGCAGAAGAAGCACCGGCAAACUCCGUGCCAGCAGCCGCGGUAAUACGGAGGGUGCAAGCGUUAAUCGGAAUUACUGGGCGUAAAGCGCACGCAGGCGGUCUGUCAAGUCGGAUGUGAAAUCCCCGGGCUCAACCUGGGAACUGCAUUCGAGACUGGCAGGCUAGAGUCUUGUAGAGGGGGGUAGAAUUCCGGGUGUAGCGGUGAAAUGCGUAGAGAUCUGGAGGAAUACCGGUGGCGAAGGCGGCCCCCUGGACAAAGACUGACGCUCAGGUGCGAAAGCGUGGGGAGCAAACAGGAUUAGAUACCCUUGUAGUC